CUUCGUUUAUAUUCAUUCAUUCGGCACCACCUAGUUAGUAGGUAUUCUAGUGUGAAGAAGAAGCUGGUUAAGAUAGAAACCCUACCCUCAAGGAGCUGACUCCCCAAGACAGAAGAAAGCAGGUGACCUUGCCUUGCUAUUUCCCCUUGGCCCUGGCCCUACUGGUCAAGGCGAUGAACAACUCCAGAGGCUGGAUGUGUUAUCUGGGGCGAGUCUCAGGCUCAUGCCCAGGGAAUACAUAUACGGCUGAGUCUCAACUCUACUUGCUAUUGGUGGAGUGCUUCUCCAGGGAUGCAUGUGGAGGAAAAGAAAAAGGAACCAGAGAUGAAGGGGACAUCCCCCUCCCUGGCACUGUCUCCAUCUCUCCACAGUACACCCAUCAUCUCCACUGGAAGGAAGGUACUCAUGAUCUUCCUUGGAAGGAAGGCACCCAGACCUGCCCUGCAGAGACCAUGAAAUUAGUUCAGUACUUCUCAAUAAA